CCGCGCGGCGGCGCGGCUGGGUGAGCGGAGGCAGAGAGGAUCUUCGCACCCAGAGCCGAGGCUGUACGCGAGGGAGCGCAGCUCGGGGACGAGCCGCCUCCCCACCCCCGCGACGCCGUGCCCGGCUCCGGGGCGCAAGCGCUAUGGCAGGACCCCUUUCCCUUCUUCUAGCUCUUCUGAGAACCCUGGAGGGUAUACACAUUCCAACUGGGAGAUCCAUUUGAUUUCUGCUUCAAGUUAAGAUGUUUUGUAUCUUUACCAUAAAGUGAUUGAUGAUUAGAAGCUGAGGAGAAUUGAUAACACAAGAAGAUAAUGCAUUUCGAAGAGGUUUUGGAAACAAACAGCAACAGAAAAAGAUUCUUCGCUAACUUUUGAGAAAGAAAUGAUCUCAAAAUACCCUUGUGUCUACUGAUAUUUCAAGGUAAGGGAAUGCUCUGGAAUGCUUCCCAUUUUCCAAAUGUAAUAUUUUCCAAAAUAAACUUGGGAGUAACUGCAUGGUUGAUAUCAUGUGAACAUUUUAAUUCACACAAUCAUAUU
rnacentral:lncRNA from 1 species